CAGUAGCCGCGGGAAUACGUAGGUGGCAAGCGUUGUCCGGAAUUAUUGGGCGUAAAGCGCGCGCAGGUGGUUUAAUAAGUCUGAUGUGAAAGCCCACGGCUCAACCGUGGAGGGUCAUUGGAAACUGUUAAACUUGAGUGCAGGAGAGAAAAGUGGAAUUCCUAGUGUAGCGGUGAAAUGCGUAGAUAUUAGGAAGAACACCAGUGGCGAAGGCGGCUUUUUGGCCUGUAACUGACACUGAGGCGCGAAAGCGUGGGGAGCAAACAGGAUUAGAUACCCCGGUAGUCCCUGUCUCUUAUAA
rnacentral:rRNA from 1 species